rnacentral:rRNA from 1 species
UACGGGGGAUGCAAGCGUUAUCCGGAUUUAUUGGGUUUAAAGGGUGCGUAGGCUGUAAGGUAAGUCAGCGGUGAAAUGCCCCCGCUCAACGGGGUGAAGUGCCAUUGAUACUGCCUUGCUGGAAUGCGGAUGCCGUGGGAGGAAUGUGUGGUGUAGCGGUGAAAUGCAUAGAUAUCACACAGAACUCCGAUUGCGAAGGCAGCAUACCGGCGCCCAACUGACGCUGAGGCACGAAGGCCAGGGGAGCGAAAGGG